rnacentral:rRNA from 1 species
UGAGGAAUAUUGGUCAAUGGGCGAGAGCCUGAACCAGCCAAGUAGCGUGCAGGAUGACGGCCCUAUGGGUUGUAAACUGCUUUUAUGUGGGGAUAAAGUGCGUGACGUGUCAUGCAUUGCAGGUACCACAUGAAUAAGGACCGGCUAAUUCCGUGCCAGCAGCCGCGGUAAUACGGAAGGUCCGGGCGUUAUCCAGAUUUAUUGGGUUUAAAGGGAGCGUAGGCUGUCUAUUAAGCGUGUUGUGAAAUAUACCGGCUCAACCGGUGGCUUGCAGCGCGAACUGGUCGACUUGAGUAUGCAGGAAGUAGGCGGAAUUCAUGGUGUAGCGGUGAAAUGCUUAGAUAUCAUGACGAACUCCGAUUGCGCAGGCAGCUUACUGUAGCAUAACUGACGCUGAUGCUCGAAAGUGCGGGUAUCAAACAGG